rnacentral:tRNA from 1 species
CACUAGGUAGCUAAAUUAGGGCACAGCGUUAGCCUUUUAAGCUAAAGAUUGGUGAUUCCCGACCACCCCUAGUGA